rnacentral:lncRNA from 1 species
UACACUAAGAUUUCAAGAAGUAUUGACUCUCCAUUAGUAUCUGAUUUUUUUUUUUUAAUGAAAUAUCUUAUCCAUCAAAUGGUUUAAUCAAUAAAGGAUCAGCUGUAGUAUACUAGCCUUUGUCUUGGGAAGUCAAGGGAUUAAUCAGAGAGAGGGUUUCCAAGGAAAAAAAAUAGGAAGACCAUCCAUAAAUUAUGCAUGUGAAUAUUGCACUUAAAAUUGAUGUAUGAAUAGAUAAUGACCAUGGCAAGCUAAUUCACAAUAAAUAAAAAAACUAAAGAUUUACUUUGGUGCAUGAUUUCACAAAACGUGAGCAUAAGACUUGUGUAACAAAUUAAAUAAUCCUACUAAGUAAAAUAGGACAUCAGUAAAAAAUGUAAUAGGUUGUAAUAUUUAUGGAAGAUGGAUUUGGCUAUUAUGUUUGUGAAAAAGCUGAAGUGAGCUCCCAGUACUAAUGAUCUUUCUAUAACGUAAUUCUUAUAUAUAUAUAUAUUAUAAAGAAUUACUACAAGAAUGGUCUAACUAGAGUUAGGGUAAAGUUAGGAUCUAACCAAAUCAUCAAUAUCUAAAAUUUGGUAGCUUUUUUUUCUUUUUUAUCCAACAUCAAGUGACUUUACCAACACAAACCUUUAAAUCUUGUACUGUAAUUUGACUAUUUUGUGAUCCAUU